rnacentral:rRNA from 1 species
CGCCAGUGGGGUGGAAUUUGCCCUUCUGGCAAUCCGCCCUGCAUUCAUAUGGUUUUAAGAAGAUUAAGCCAUGUAUUCUAAAUCAAGCCUAAAUAAAGUGCAAUCGCGAAUUUUCCCCCAUCAUCCAGGUUCGUUAGAUCGCAAUUAGUGCUCGGAUAACUUUCGUAAUUUUAGAGAUAAUUUCUUCGUUCGACUUCCCUCUUUUCAGUCAUGAGUUCUUUUUUUAGAUUAAAGCCAAUGGGGUCUUUGGGCUCGUUAAAUGGUGACUGAGAAGAAAUUCGCUGAUAGCAUGGUUUUGUACCGGCGACGCAUCUUUCAAGCGUCGUUCUUAUCAAUUGUCGAUGGUAGGUUCUGCGCCCACCAUGGUGUUAACGGGUAACGGGGAAUUAGGGUUAGAUUGCGGAGAGGGAGCCUCAGAAAUGGUUUCCACAUCCAAGGAAGGCAGCAGGAAGGCAAAUUCCUCAAUCCCAGCUCGGGGAGGUAGUGACGAAAAAUACGGAUCCGGGCUUCUUUAGAGGCUCAGUGUGGGCGUGGGUACUUUUUUUUCCUUCCCGGGGCUUUUUUCGCGGGCUUCUGGGGU